UUGUAAAAAAAUAAUUCAGAAACAAUUUUAAUGGAGAGAGCUGUCUCUCUUGUGCUCUCUUGUGAGAAACUUUAGAUGAGAUGAGAGACGUGUACGUGUCACGUUUUAAUUGGGCGUUUUAUUUGACAAAACUGAAAAGAAAAAAAAUGCGUCGAAAAAAACCUUCGUUUUCUCUCGAUACGCUCUCUCUUUCUUUCUCUCUAGCGAAACAAAAUCAAACGAUGGCGAAGGUGACGGCGACGGAGCCGGAAUUUUGCUCCGAAGAUUGAGGUUCAAUUGAAGCAGUCGAUAUCAAGGUCGAGCAGUGGUUGGGCCGAUUUCGUCAUUUGCAGAGCCGGUGGUCACGAUCGCCGGUGAAAGAUGAAUCAAAUCAGAGAAUCAAUGACGAAGCUCGUAAUUGGGUUCAUAGUUUCUGAAUCUCAAUCUCUCUUGCUUCUCCGGUGCUCUCUUCUUCCACAUGGAUUUAUGUUCUCUCUCGCCAGGAAUCUCUGCUUCAGUUUAUUCUCAACACAUAAGGAACCGGGUACUUGAGUGGCUGUUUUGCUUUGAUGGUUGGAGCUGAGGGAUGCAUUGUUGUUUUCAUGUGUAAUGAUGCUUGGGAUGAGUUUGAGGACCAAUAAACAGAGAAAAACACAUAGGGUGGACCUGAGAUUCUCCAAAACGUGAAGAGGGUGAAUGAUUUGCAGUCUGCAUAUUUUUGAAUGAUUGUACACCCUCCUUUUCUCUAUAUAUACAACACUUCUUCUUGUUAUUGUUAUAUCAAAACACAACAUUUCUUGUAGAUCUAUCUUGUAUAGGCUAAGUAGGAGACAAGACACUCAAAUCAAAAUAUGUGUAGAUCAUGAAUCUUUCAUUUGCAGUUGACAAGUUUUUGAUGUGA